GGGGAAUCUUGCACAAUGGGGGCAACCCUGAUGCAGCGACGCCGCGUGAGCGAUGAAGCCCUUCGGGGUGUAAAGCUCUUUCGGCAGGAACGAUAAUGACGGUACCUGCAGAAGAAGCUGCGGCUAACUACGUGCCAGCAGCCGCGGUAAUACGUAGGCAGCAAGCGUUGUUCGGAGUUACUGGGCGUAAAGAGUGCGUAGGCGGUCCUCUAAGUUCGGUGUGAAAUCUCCCGGCUCAACUGGGAGGGUGCGCCGGAAACUGGAGGGCUCGAGUAUGGGAGAGGAAAGCGGAAUUCCUGGUGUAGCGGUGAAAUGCGUAGAUAUCAGGAGGAACACCUGUGGUGUAGACGGCUUUCUGGACCAUGACUGACGCUGAGGCACGAAAGCGUGGGUAGCAAAC
rnacentral:rRNA from 1 species